rnacentral:rRNA from 1 species
UACGUAGGGUGCAAGCGUUAAUCGGAAUUACUGGGCGUAAAGCGUGCGCAGGCGGUUCGCUAAGACAGAUGUGAAAUCCCCGGGCUUAACCUGGGAACUGCAUUUGUGACUGGCGGGCUAGAGUAUGGCAGAGGGGGGUAGAAUUCCACGGUGUAGCAGUGAAAUGCGUAGAGAUGUGGAGGAAUACCGAUGGCGAAGGCAGCCCCCUGGGCCAAUACUGACGCCUCAUGCACGAAAGCGUGGGGAGCAAACAGG